GGAUGCGUGAUCAAAAAAGUUUGGAGACCACUGUCUUAGCAGAUGGCUUGAAAUCUAAGAUAUACUGGAAUGCCAUAACAGUGAAAUUAGCGGUGAAAAGUAAAACCCUGUAACUGCAGAGUAAUGUGGUUUUUUACAACAUAUUCUUCAGCACUACAUAAUGACUGAAAACUGCACCAGGUGUUUACAGUACACAGGAGCUUGUUGCUGAACAGUUAUGUCAGCUCCAUACACCAAUGUGAAGGAGAAGCGGUGGCCAUGCAAACCAUUUUCUACGCGAUGAGUCAGUAUAACAAUUUCUUCUCCAUUUCUGCUGUGUAAGUAAAAAAGAAGCCCCUUUCUGUGAGUAUUUUCAAAGUAAGGUCUUUUGUAAAUGAACAUAACAAAGCAGACGUGUAGGGUUAAAUCAUGUUACGUGGAGGGAAAGGAAGGAAAGCCGUGCACAGCUGGAAGCAUCCUCUGCCACAGGAAUCUUUAUAGCCAGGAGAGAUCCUUAUUGCUGGGGGGUAGGGUAGUAUUUUGCUGAGGUUGGGACAGCCCAAGCCUGACAGUUGCCAUAGACUGCAGCAUAUGCACUAGCUCUCUGGUGGGGCUAGACAUGGCCCUUGGGGAUGUCGUGUGCAUUAGCCAAUCCACUCACUGUCUGGAAUGCUGUGGAAAGGUGGUGCCAAGCUGAUUUGUGAGGAGAUAACUUUCUGUG